rnacentral:rRNA from 1 species
UAGCUAGUUGGUGAGGUAACGGCUUACCAAGGCGACGAUCUGUAGCGGGUCUGAGAGGAUGAUCCGCCACACUGGAACUGAGACACGGUCCAGACUCCUACGGGAGGCAGCAGUGGGGAAUUUUGGACAAUGGGGGCAACCCUGAUCCAGCCAUGCCGCGUGAGUGAAGAAGGCCUUCGGGUUGUAAAGCUCUUUCGGCCGGGAAGAAAUCGCAUGGGCCAAUACCCUGUGUGGAUGACGGUACCGGAAUAAGAAGCACCGGCUAACUACGUGCCAGCAGCCGCGGUAAUACGUAGGGUGCGAGCGUUAAUCGGAAUUACUUGGCGUAAAGCGUGCGCAGGCGGUUUUGUAAGACAGGCGUGAAAUCCCCGGGCUCAACCUGGGAACUGCGUUUGUGACUGCAAGGCUAGAGUACGGCAGAGGGGGGUGGAAUUCCACGUGUAGCAGUGAAAUGCGUAGAGAUGUGGAGGAACACCAAUGGCGAAGGCAGCCCCCUGGGUCGAUACUGACGCUCAUGCACGAAAGCGUGGGUAGCAAACAGGAUUAGAUACCCUGGUAGUCCACGCCCUAAACUAUGUCAACUAGGUGUUGGGUGGGUAAAACCAUUUAGUACCGUAGCUAACGCGUGAAGUUGACCGCCUGGGGAGUACGGCCGCAAGGUUAAAACUCAAAGGAAUUGACGGGGACCCGCACAAGCGGUGGAUGAUGUGGAUUAAUUCGAUGCAACGCGAAAAACCUUACCUACCCUUGACAUGCCAGGAACUUGCCAGAGAUGGCUUGGUGCCCGAAAGGGAGCCUGGACACAGGUGCUGCAUGGCUGUCGUCAGCUCGUGUCGUGAGAUGUUGGGUUAAGUCCCGCAACGAGCGCAACCCUUGUCGUUAAUUGCCAUCAUUUAGUUGGGCACUUUAGCGAGACUGCCGGUGACAAACCGGAGGAAGGUGGGGAUGACGUCAAGUCCUCAUGGCCCUUAUGGGUAGGGCUUCACACGUCAUACAAUGGUCGGUACAGAGGGUCGCCAAGCCGCGAGGUGGGGCCAAUCCCAGAAAGCCGAUCGUAGUCCGGAUUGCAGGCUGCAACUCGCCUGCAUGAAGUCGGAAUCGCUAGUAAUCGUGGAUCAGCAUGUCACGGUGAAUACGUUCCCGGGUCUUGUACACACCGCCCGUCACACCAUGGGAGCGGGUUCCGCCAGAAGUAGGUAGCCUAACCGCAAGGAGGGCGCUUACCACGGCGGGGUUCGUGACUGGGGUGAAGUCGUAACAAGGUAGCCGUAGGGGAACCUGCGGCUG